GGCUAGUCCAAAGGUAGUGAGCUAUCUCAACUGAUUGUUCACAGUCAGUGACAGAGUUACAGAUUUAACUCCUUGUUCUACUUUUUCCCCCUUCUCACUACUGUACUUGACUAGUCUUAA
rnacentral:Y_RNA from 1 species